GACGAACGCUGGCGGCGUGCCUAACACAUGCAAGUGGAGCGACGAACCGGACUUUUAGUCCGGGGCUAAGCCGCGAACGGGUGAGUAACACGUGGGUAACCUGCCCUGAUGAUUGGGACAACCCGAGGAAACUCGGGCUAAUACCGAAUGUGCCCUCCGAUCACAAGAUCGCUGGGGAAAGGAAGCUUCGGCCUCCGCAUCGGGAUGGGCCCGCGGCCCAUUAGCUUGUUGGUGAGGUAACGGCUCACCAAGGCGACGAUGGGUAGCUGGUCUGAGA
rnacentral:rRNA from 1 species